rnacentral:sRNA from 1 species
CAUCUUGUGUUGUUGAGGCUGAGGACUGACUUGGGUUCUGAGACUCCCUGUCCCGGACCGCAGUGUUAAAAGGAUCUGAACAAAGUCUGCUCAAAUCUCCUGCUGUGAACCAGCAGAAUUUUUGAACAGGUUUCUUCACAUAUAAAAAUCUAUUGUAAAAAUACGGAAAAGAAUGGCAGCGGAAACGCAGACACUGAACUUUGGGCCUGAAUGAUAUGUUUGGACCCCGAAUAUGGAAUUCUCAUGGAAUUUUGAGAUCCAUCACAUUGUAGUGUGGCUUCCCCCCCCCCCUUCCUUUUUCCCCAAAGUUGGUGAUUGAAGAACCUCUCUUCAGUGGCAUCAAUAAUAAUAAUUACUUUUUCUAUUCAAACCUCGGGCAACCCCUUUGGUAAUAUCAGAAGCAGUAUCUAAAAUAGAUAAAUUGGAUUUGUGUCUUAAACUCUUGGUUGUUCAGGUGGGAGUGGUUCAAUAAAUGAUGCAGACUUCCCGUAGUAACUCUAUUUGAGGAGUCUUAUUAACUUACCCUAUUAGAAAUAUUUCUUUUUAUUAAUAUAUGUAAUCUGGAAGUUUUCUUAACCUUUAUAGCCAGCAUUUGGAGACUGAGGAGAAAUCACUAUUUGAAGUUCUAAGAACUGAUGGAACUCCUGUAUUUUGAGAGUUUAUUUAGAACAUGUUAACCUA